CAUCCCCAAGGCUUUAGAAGACAUCAGGAUAUUUCCCUGAUGUAAUGCCUGUAGAUGGAGUGGUACCUUGUUAUUCUCUAGCUGUUAUGGUCAGUUUCUGAGAAUUUCUGGUUCACAAGAAGUGCUUGCCGUCAGGAUAGCACCAUCAGGUGCUAUCAGCAGUUUACUUUCUGAUGUAUCUUUAUGUGUGUCUUGGAGUGACUGUAUGAUGCCUGUGUCCCCAGAUCGUCUCUUCUGACCAAACCAAGACACAUAAAUAUCGGGUAGUCUGCCAGGUAUUCUCUAAGCCAGCACAAGGUGACUGCUCUUGCAGAGACUUGCCAUGCUUUAUUACAAAGGAUGGUUCUUCUCCAUCUCUCUGUUACCUCCCUCAAUUUGAAACACGUCAUAAAUUCUGAAAUCCAUACUGGCCCUUUCCUGGUUUCAGUGGCACAACAUGGAAGUAGAGUCAUUCAGGCAUGGUCUGUAAUAGUGCCUCCCAUCUGACAUCCUGCCCACCCAUCCUCUCCCUGCUCCCAC